GACGAACGCUGGCGGCGUGCUUAACACAUGCAAGUCGAACGGAAAGGCCCUGCUUUUGUGGGGUGCUCGAGUGGCGAACGGGUGAGUAACACGUGAGUAACCUGCCCUUGACUUUGGGAUAACUUCAGGAAACUGGGGCUAAUACCGGAUAGGAGCUCCUGCUGCAUGGUGGGGGUUGGAAAGUUUCGGCGGUUGGGGAUGGACUCGCGGCUUAUCAGCUUGUUGGUGGGGUAGUGACCUACCAAGGCUUUGACGGGUAGCCGGCCUGAGAGGGUGACCGGCCACAUUGGGACUGAGAUACGGCCCAGACUCCUACGGGAGGCAGCAGUGGGGAAUAUUGCACAAUGGGCGGAAGCCUGAUGCAGCAACGCCGCGUGCGGGAUGACGGCCUUCGGGUUGUAAACCGCUUUCGCCUGUGACGAAGCGUGAGUGACGGUAAUGGGUAAAGAAGCACCGGCUAACUACGUG
rnacentral:rRNA from 1 species